AUUGAACGCUGGCGGAAUGCUUUACACAUGCAAGUCGAACGGCAGCACGGACUUCGGUCUGGUGGCGAGUGGCGAACGGGUGAGUAAUGUAUCGGAACGUGCCCAGUCGUGGGGGAUAACGUAGUGAAAAUUACGCUAAUACCGCAUACGAACUAUGGAUGAAAGAGGGGGAUCGCAAGACCUCGCGCGAUUGGAGCGGCCGAUAUCAGAAUAGGUAGUUGGUGGGGUAAAGGCCCACCAAGCCAACGAUCUGUAGCCGGUCUGAGAGGACGACCAGCCACACUGGAACUGAGACACGGUCCAGACUCCUACGGGAGGCAGCAGUGGGGAAUUUUGGACAAUGGGCGAAAGCCUGAUCCAGCCAUUCCGCGUGCAGGAUGAAGGCCCUCGGGUUGUAAACUGCUUUUGUACAGAACGAAAAGGUUUCUACUAAUACUAGGAGCUCAUGACGGUACUGUAAGAAUAAGCACCGGCUAACUACGUGCCAGCCGCCGCAGUAA
rnacentral:rRNA from 1 species